AGGAAACUCUGACCCAGCAACGCCGCGUGAAGGAAGAAGGUUUUCGGAUUGUAAACUUCUGUAUUAUGUGACAAAGAAAGUGAUGGUAGCAUAAUAGAAAGCUACGGCAAACUACGUGCCAGCAGCCGCGGUAAUACGUAGGUAGCGAGCGUUGUCCGGAAUAACUGGGCGUAAAGGGAGCGUAGGCGGUUAAUUAAGUCUAAUGUGGAAGUCUGUGGCUUAACCAUAGGAGUGCAUUGGAUACUGGUUGACUAGAGUAUGGAAGAGGUAAACGGAACUACUAGUGUAGCGGUGGAAUGCGUAGAUAUUAGUAAGAACACCAGAGGCGAAGGCGGUUUACUGGGACAAAACUGACGCUGAGGCUCGAAAGCGUGGGGAGCAAACAGGAUUAGAUACCCUGGUAGUCCACGCCCUAAACGAUGGAUACUAAAGGAAGGCAGUUUCGACGCUGUCUGUCUUGAAGCAAACGCGAUAAGUAUCCCGCCUGGGGAGUACGAACGCAAGUUUAAAACUCAAAGGAAUUGACGGGGACCCGCACAAGCAGCGGAGCAUGUUGUUUAAUUCGACGCAACGCGAAAAACCUUACCAAGGCUUGACAUAGGAUGAAUACCUAGGAAACUAGGGAAGUGAAAGCAAUUUUACAUCCAUACAGAUGGUGCAUGGUUGUCGUCAGCUCGUGUCGUGAGAUGUUAGGUUAAGUCCUAAAACGAGCGCAACCCUUGUCAAUAGUUGCCAGCAUUAAGUUGGGCACUCUAUUGAGACAGCCGUAGGUAAUACGGAGGAAGGUGGGGAUGACGUCAAAUCAUCAUGCCUCUUACGCCUUGGGCUACAAACGUGCUACAAUGGUCGUUACAAAGAGACGCGAUAUAGUAAUAUGGAGCAAAUCUCAAAAAGACGGCCUCAGUUCAGACUGUGGGCUGCAACCCGCCCACACGAAGUCGGAGUUGCUAGUAAUCCCGAAUCAGCAUGUCGGGGUGAAUGCGUUCCCGGGUCUUGUACACACUGCCCGUCACGCCAUGGGAGUCGGGGGUACCCGAAGUCGGUGAGUCAACCUGUAAAGGAGACAGCCGCCGAAGGUAAAACUGAUGACUGGGGUGAAGUCGUAACAAGGUAGCCGUAUCGGAAGGUGCGGCUGGAU
rnacentral:rRNA from 1 species